GAUGAACGCUAGCGACAGGCUUAACACAUGCAAGUCGAGCGGCAGCACAGGUAGCAAUACCGGGUGGCGACCGGCGCACGGGUGAGUAACCCGUAUGCAACUUACCUAUCAGAGGGGGAUAACCCGGCGAAAGUCGGACUAAUACCGCAUGAAGCAGGGGUCCCGCGUGGGGAUAUUUGCUAAAGAUUCAUCGCUGAUAGAUAGGCAUGCGUUCCAUUAGGCAGUUGGCGGGGUAACGGCACACCAAACCCACGAUGGAUAGGGGUUCUGAGAGGAAGGUACCCCAGAAUGGUACCGAGACACGGACCAAACCGGGACGGGACGGAGGAGUGAGGAAGACUAGGGGAGGGAGGAGAGUCUGACCCUGCCAAGUCGGGUGAGGGAGUAUGGUUAUAGGGAUGGUAAUCCUCUUGUGAAAGGGAAUAAAGUGCUGGACCCGUCCCGUUUUGACGGUACCCUAUGAAUAAGGACCGGCUAACUUCGUG
rnacentral:rRNA from 1 species